rnacentral:rRNA from 1 species
UACAGAGGGUGCAAGCGUUGUUCGGAAUUACUGGGCGUAAAGCGCGUGUAGGCGGCGUCGUUAGUCGAAUGUGAAAGCCCUCGGCUCAACCGAGGAAGUGCAUCCGAUACUGCGACGCUUGAGUGUUGGAGGGGGUGGCGGAAUUCCCGGUGUAGAGGUGAAAUUCGUAGAUAUCGGGAGGAACACCUGUGGCGAAGGCGGCCACCUGGACAACAACUGACGCUGAGACGCGAAAGCGUGGGUAGCAAACCGG